AUAGCUCAAAAUGAUAUUCUAAACCGGCUUAUGUAGGAAAUAUUAUUACAAAAUGCUCAAAUGUAGAAUCAUAGCCAUCUGUCUUGUCCUCAAUCAUCUGAAAAUUUUCCCAACUCUACUUUGAGAGAAGGAAAUCUACUCGAGUUGGGAGUUGAGAAAGCGCAUCUUCUCGGCAUCACGAACACAUGGCUGUGAUAUUGUUAAGUUGAUUUGACUCCUGUAGUAAGCAUGCCGUCCUCUCUGCGGUGGUGAGCGUCGUUAAAAAGGGGUGAAUCUCCACCCCCUUGCCAUCAUGCUGUGGAAGGUUUGAGCACACGGUCUCUCUCCUACCACCACCUCUGGCCUUCAAGAACCAUAUGUCUUCUUGUUCUGGUUCCUUCACCUCAGGGAUGUCGAGGUCCCGCCGUUGGAACGACUCCGGCGAGCUUGAUGUCUUCGAGGCAGCACUAUACUUUUCUGGCGAGGUUACUGAUGUAGAUCUUGGACUUCAAAGAGCCUGGAGAACUGAGAGGAGGGGUUCGGAUACACCCACGGAAGCCACACUCUUCCAUCAGCCCCGAAAGGUUGAGAGUCAAUUCAAAGACAAGAAGCACAAGCAACCCUGCUCCCCUGGUGGCAAGUUGGCCAACCUUGUGAGCUCCUUCUUCCACCAAGCAGCUUCAAAGAAGAAAUCAAAGGCUGUCUCCCCUUCGCAGUCAUUUAAGGAGGAGUACGCGGAGAGGCUCGCAAGGAGGAGGAGAAACAGCAUCAACCAUCCACAGAUCAUGAGAGCUCGGAGCGAGAGAAUUGGUAUGAUAAGAGGGUGGCGGGUGCGUUUCUGUUGGCCGAGAGAUCGAAGCUCAUUACUGAUGGGUUUGCCGGGAACACAUGGGUUGAGAAGGGAAGCUGUCGCAUGCUACAUAACAGGGAGGCUCAUCAGUGGGCUGAGGCGUUCAUAGAAAAGGAAGACAAGUGUAGGAGAAGAGAGGAGGAGGAGGAAGAGGACGAUGGGGGGAGUGAUUCCAGCUCAGACCUGUUUGAGCUGAAGAGCUAUGACUUGGUGUUUUGAUAGCUCAAGCGGACUUCGUUUCACUUUGUUGUUGAAACCAUUUUCUGUUCUAUGGAUUGUCUCUAUGUUGGAUUUCUUUA